rnacentral:rRNA from 1 species
UUGCUCCCCAGAGCUAGUGGCGGACGGGUGAGUAACACGUGAGCAACCUGCCUUUCAGAGGGGGACAACAGUUGGAAACGACUGCUAAUACCGCAUAACACAUAGGAGUCGCAUGGCUCAUAUGUCAAAGAUUUAUCGCUGAAAGAUGGCCUCGCGUCUGAUUAGCUAGUUGGCGGGGUAACGGCCCACCAAGGCGACGAUCAGUAGCCGGACUGAGAGGUUGACCGGCCACAUUGGGACUGAGAUACGGCCCAGACUCC